rfam:Hydrogenophaga sp. A37 NODE_18_length_76371_cov_8.59274_ID_35, whole genome shotgun sequence.
CUUGAAGACCGCUAGGGUUCCGGGCGCUGCUCAUACAUAUAUGUAGAGCGCGCCGUCUGGUCCGAGAGCAGUCGGCCACGAUCGUGUGGCUCCACGGAGGGACAAAAGCCCGGGAGAC